CAAGUUUCAGCUCAUCGGAGUGAGAUGAUUAGAUGAAGAUGGAUGAAGAUAGCUGUUUCUUCGGCGAUGGCGGCACUCUAGCUACGUUUCACCGGAAGAGUAGAUGUUUACGAUUCUGGCUGUAUUCUGGAGCGUUUCCUCAUGGGCGUCGCAGUUCACACACGUCACGGAUUCCGCCGAAGGAGUCGAUAAUUAAAACUGAACUUUUGGAUCGGAUAUAUGAAGACGCGCGCUGCAUUUUCCUUGACGGAGACGCACAGCUCUGACACUAGACAAUACACUCAAAGGGACCGCGUUUCGUCGGAAGAAUAAAUAAUUACGUAAGUUU